UACGGAGGGUGCAAGCGUUGUUCGGAAUUAUUGGGCGUAAAGGGCGUGUAGGCGGUUUUCUAAGUCUGAUGUGAAAGCCCCGGGCUCAACCUGGGAAGUGCAUUGGAAACUGGGAGACUUGAGUACGGGAGAGGGCAGUGGAAUUCCUGGUGUAGGAGUGAAAUCCGUAGAUAUCAGGAGGAACACCGGUGGCGAAGGCGGCUGCCUGGACCGAUACUGACGCUGAGACGCGAAAGCGUGGGGAGCAAACAGG
rnacentral:rRNA from 1 species